AAGUGACACAAGGGAGUACAGAUCCUCUUCAGCAUGACCAAGGACAGAACCCAGAGGGCUAACAAAGAAGCACCAUGGAGUUGGUACACAGACCUCUGAGAGCGGAUCCUAAAUGGCUAUCGCUGCUACCUGGCAUCUCACCAGAGAACUGGUCCUGGAAGCUGUCAAGGAAGGUUGAAGCUUUUAACUGCUACUGACCAAUACAGGAAAAACAGAAAUGUAAAGAAGUCAGCUAUCAGACUCCGGAAACCCAAACAAUUUUCUGAUGAAGGAGAGGCGUGGUAUGACAAUUGGCCCUGAGCUCCGCACAAGCAAUCACCAAGAUUCACUGAUUCUGCAGCUGUAGAAUCAACUCCCAGACUAAGUUAUCUAAGAAUUAAACCUCAAAUCUUCCACACUAAAAUCACCUUUAAAAACAUAAGCUCUUUAAAAAAAAUAAUAUUAAG
rnacentral:lncRNA from 1 species